rnacentral:rRNA from 1 species
AUUGAACGCUGGCGGCAGGCUUAACACAUGCAAGUCGAGCGGGGGAAGGUAGCUUGCUACCGGACCUAGCGGCGGACGGGUGAGUAAUGCUUAGGAAUCUGCCUAUUAGUGGGGGACAACAUCUCGAAAGGGAUGCUAAUACCGCAUACGUCCUAUGGGAGAAAGCAGGGGAUCUUCGGACCUUGCGCUAAUAGAUGAGCCUAAGUCGGAUUAGCUAGUUGGUGGGGUAAAGGCCUACGAAGGCGACGAUCUGUAGCGGGUCUGAGAGGAUGAUCGGCAACGAUGGGACUGAGACACGGCCCAGACUCCGACGGGAGGCAGCAGUGGGGAAUAUUGGACAAUGGGGGGAACCCUGAUCCAGCCAUGCCGCGUGUGUGAAGAAGGCCUUAUGGUUGUAAAGCACUUUAAGCGAGGAGGAGGCUACUUUAGUUAAUACCUAGAGAUAGUGGACGUUACUCGCAGAAUAAGCACCGGCUAACUCUGUGCCAGCCGCCGCCGUAA